UACGUAGGGUGCGAGCGUUAAUCGGAAUUACUGGGCGUAAAGCGUGCGCAGGCGGUGAUGUAAGACAGUUGUGAAAUCCCCGGGCUCAACCUGGGAACUGCAUCUGUGACUGCAUCGCUGGAGUGCGGCAGAGGGGAUGGAAUUCCGCGUGUAGCAGUGAAAUGCGUAGAUAUGCGGAGGAACACCGAUGGCGAAGGCAAUCCCCUGGGCCUGCACUGACGCUCAUGCACGAAAGGCGUGGGGAGCAAACAGG
rnacentral:rRNA from 1 species